UACGGAGGAUGCGAGCGUUAUCCGGAUUUAUUGGGUUUAAAGGGAGCGUAGGUGGAUUGUUAAGUCUUUUGUAAAAAUGCUAGGCUCAACCUAGUAGGGCAAAAGAUACUGAUGAACUAGAGUACGGCAGAGGCAAGUGGAACUACAUGUGUAGCGGUAAAAUGCGUAAAUAUAUGUAAGAACACCGGUGGCGAAGGCGGCUUGCUGGGCCUGUACUGACAUUGAGGCACGAAAGCGUGGGGAGCAAACAGG
rnacentral:rRNA from 1 species